CACAGGGCAGCCCUGGGCAUGUGGCAUGAGUGCUGCCGGAGCUGGGCUGUGCUCCAGCAGUGCCUCAGUUUCCCUUUAUACCCAAUGGCAGACCCUGUGCUCUCCACAGCAAUACUGCAGACAGACGUUUGGUUUUGUAGGGGGGAUUUCGAGGCCGUUCUCUUAGCAGCAAAGCAUUCAACCAACUGCCUCCAACUCCCCCAUCCUCUGCAGCCUCCGGUUUCCUCCCCGCAGAGCAGCCGUCGGGAUGUGCGCUCAUACCCACAGUGGAUGUGCAGCAGCUGUGGGAUGCAGUGCUGCCCCACACACCGCUCCCCCCAUUUCCUCUGCAGUAGCUGCUCGGGAUAAGCUUGCAUGUCGCUGAGCUUUUCCUCGUGUGUUAACUAUUGCUGAGACAAUUACGUUAAAAUCACACCACCUGCAAGCGGUUAGUUAGAAUAAUAAAUAAGUGAUAGAUUAUCAAAUAAAGCGUUCGCUUCGGAUGAGGUCAUCCCAGCACCAUGUCGCGGGUCUCGGCGGGUUUGCAGCCUGCUUUCCUGCCGCCAAUCGGCCAAAUCGCUCUUGUAUCAGUCAAUAAAAGUGUUGUAGAGAUUAAAGAAUCAAUUAGGCAUUAGCCAAAGGGGCAAAAGCAUAACCCAAACAUGCUGAUAAAAUCCAGUAGGUGAUUAUGGGAAUGGUUCCUAUUUCAUUUUACUUUAGAAGGAAAUAAUUGCUCGUUACCGAGCACGGAGCAGCCGGGCCGGGUGCUUUUCCAGCUUUAUGGAAAGCAGGAGGAAGCCCUGGUGCUGGGCUGACAGACGCAGAGGCACGCCACGCUUUAGGGCUGAAUGUGCAUGUUUUGCUGCUUGCUUUGAGGAGAGCCAUUUUAGCCCUGAAAGGGGACAGGGGAGCUGAGUCUGUCAUAUGGUGCAGCCUGGGGAGCUCGGUGCCACAGCCAGGCAUUGCCCGCUCAAGGCAGAGGGCCCAGGCACAUGUUUGCAGAUGGAUUUAAGGAGCCCAAGCAUGCGGGCUGCUGCCAGCAGCUGCAACCUACAAUGCACAGGAGCAAAUAGAUCUGUACGCACUAUGCCUGGCCAAUAUCUGCUCUUUGUAAAUGCACAAACUUUGAUUAACCAAGCAAAAUCCAGUCAGCUGAAAAAGCAUUUAGGGAUAUAUAUGCUUAACUUCUUCCCGGUAUUUCUGGUGGCAGUACAUCUGGGCAGGUGCCUUGCAGUGAGAAUCGGGCCGGUUUGCAGUGGGGCUGUGCAAUGUCACAUUUUGCUAACUCGUGCUAACAUUUAUUAAGUGGUAGCCUGCCACAAAGCCUUACCUCAUUUCGGGUCUCUGCAUGCUGGCCAAACACAGGGAGGGAAGAAAAGGUGUGGGCUCAACCAGCUCAUUCCCUCAGCACAGGUGAGCAUAGGGACAGCCAGAGGUGGCUGUUCUGAAGUCAUGGGAAGGGGCUAAGUGGGAACCUGAGGUCUCCACGCUGCAGCUUUUGACCCAAUUUUGCUGCCAAGAGAGGAUGUUCAGGUUGGAUAGUUGGAACAGUUUCUUCUUGUCACCAUCCCUGGAGGUGCUCAAGGACCAUGGAGAUGUGGCACUUGGGGACAUGGUCAGUGGGCGUGGUGGGAUGGGUUGGGGUUGGGCUUGAGGAUCUCAGAGGUCUUUCCCAACCUGAAUGGUUCUGUGAUUCUAUGAAAGAUGCUAACGAUUAUUAUAGUGCUGAAAUACUGAAGGAGGUAGAUAGGCUUUGGAAACAAAAGGCAAAUCAGUAAGUGUUCUCUUCCCUUGGAACAAAGUCGAUGUAAAAGGCUGAGAUGGUUUUGCAAAGCACUAAAUUCUGAGGUGGCAGAAUGAGUUUAAAUGACUUCAGUCUGAGAUGAUUUUGCAAGGUGCAGCCCAUCACACCCUUAGCUGUGCUGCAGCCACCCAGUGCUGCCCGGGUGCAGGUUUUCUGCCCUGGAUGCACAGUGUGGGACCUCCUGGUCUGGAUGGGAGGGCUGAAUGCUGCUGGGCAGCCUGGCAGGUGGGGACAGCUCAUUGUCCCCCUCCCCAUGGGAAACUGGGAGUUGCUCCCAGUUUAGCUUAGUAAUGAGGCAAGUUCUGAGCUUUACUGUUCAAGCAGGUUUUUCUCCAAAAAGUAUCUUGCUGGGAGGGCAUUUUCUGCAGCAUUUCCAACACAGACCUGCUUAUAGGCAAUGCAAGUUUGCUUCUUGACUUGGAACCAGAGGCUGAGAACCAGCACCAAAAAAGCCAGAACUGAAGCCGGGAGGAUGAGAAGCUGUCACUUUCUGUAAGUAGCAUCUCCCCAUCUCCAUGAAGCCCUUUGGGCACGACUAUGCCUUGUGUGCAGCCCUAACCACACAGACCCACUCCUGGAGACCCCCCAGCAUCCCUCCCUGCCUGCUCCCCUGCUCUCAUUCAUUGCCUGUUGUGUCCCUUUGUGGCAUGGCGCGGCAGCCCCAGCGUGCAGCUGUGCUCUCGGCACGGAGCGGCCAUCUGCAGCGCCCGCCCUGGAAAGCAGCCCCACAGCUGCGCUCGCCUGGUACCGGCGGUACCCGGACGAGGUCAUUCAUCACCGGGCGAGGAAGCUUGGCAGGGAAGAGGAGGACGACAACCACAGGAGGCAAAUUUUAAAGCGCUGUGUGGACUGUGGUUAUUAUAUCUGCUGCCUGAGCUUUUUUCCCUUCGCUGCUAUAGAUGGGUGACAAAGCUCCCCACUGGGGCUGGAAGCGUUCUCAUGUGUUGAUGGAAUAGAGCAGCCCCAUCGAGGACUCCAUUGAGGCCAGGGGCCACCACUGCCCCAAGGGUGGGAGCAGGCAGUGGGGUUUGUGUCCCUUCCCUGUGCAGUGUGAGAAGUGUGGAAAUGGGGAAUGAAGGGCUCAGUCCCAAAGGCCACACUGGGAUGGGGUUGGGAUGGGGUAGGAUGCCAUAGUGCAGGCACUGUGCCCCUUUCUCAGCGCCUUGUCCCACCUCUGCUAUAGCCAACUCCAGGAGAGAGCAAAAUGUGCAUGCUGAGCCCUGCAGGCACACUGAGCCCCAGGCCCACUGGCUCUUGGCUGGAAGUGCUGCAAGGCACUGAGCCCUGUGACCUGCUGAUCCCCACCGUGGCCAUCCAUUAGCAGCACAGCAGAGAGGGCACGGCAGCAAGCGCAGUGCUGUGCUGGAGCUCAUGUCCCCAACCCGCUCGUCCUCCCUGCUCUGUGUGCCAGAGGGAGCCAGCAGCCACCCGUUGCGAUGUCCACUGUAAGCACUGGUGUUGCUUCUGCACUUUUGGUCCCCAGCUCAUUGGAGAAGUGUGAGCACUGGGAGCCAUACGAGAGGUGUGAGCCCAGAACAGAGCCCGCCGUGCUGCAGUGGACACGGGGUGGCACCACUGGACCCUGCGGUGGAUAUCGGGUGGGAUGGGACACGGUCCCUCCCCAGCAGGAGGAGGCUUUUCCCAGGAACCAUAACCAAACAAGAGGAUAGUCUGCUGAGAAGUCUGUGCUUUCUGCCCACGGGAAAAGCGUGGCCGUGGGGCGUUGGGUGCUCCAAGGACAGCACCAUUGGGGACGGCCAAUGUGAGGUGCUCAGCAUCCCUCUGCUCCCCUCUCUGCGGGUCUCUGAGGAGUUCAGACACAGAUGUUCGGUAACACCGGGACACGCGGAGCGUUGCUCACGUUCAUGGCUAUUGGCGCUGCUCAGCCACGCACACGGCUAUUUUCCUUGGCCC
rnacentral:lncRNA from 1 species